rnacentral:lncRNA from 1 species
CAGAGAAAGGCUUUUAUUCUUGUCUAUUGCAAAAUGUCUGGGAAAGCAGUUGCUAAGAUAACAUUGGAACUUUGACUCUAUUAAAUAAAACAUGAUGGAUCACACUGUACAUUUGCAUGCCAGCUAAAACACGGUCAAGGCUCUGCUAAAACAGAGAGGAUCCUGCCCUUGCCUGAACAUGAUGGAGGCGAAAUGGAGAAGAACAGAUCCCAGGUAGCUGUUGGUCCAAGGAAAACAAAAGAUGAGUGGAGCUGACCUGAAACUGACCUGCACUGUGAAGUGGAACUUGCCCAGGCUACUCUCAGGUCUAUAAGAAAACAAAUGAAUGUUGUUAAAAGAAAAUUUGGUGACCAGCCUUGUCCUGCAGAACAUUAUAGAAGAGGGAGCACCAAGGGAAUAGCACUGCUUGCCAUCAUCAGCAAAUCCAGACCUGAGUGUAUGUUUCUCCAAGUUCUGCCAGAAGCUCAGCGGGGAGAAGUGGUACUAAGGGGCCUACACUUUCCGUCUGCCUGUAGUUACUCCACAUUUAGUAUUGAAACAUGGUAA